GAUCGUUGGAAGUGAGAAUUUUGACUUUUGCUCUAGACCAAACGUUUGAAGUGUGAUAGCUGAAUGUUCGAGUUAAAUCCUAAUGUCGAACGUUCAACGUAAGAGGCUUGAACGAUCGAAUGAGAACUUAUCAUUUGAUGGCGUAGUCCGAACGUUCAAUCGUAUGUCAGAUAGUGCAAAAACAGAUGAACGACCGUAUGUCAGGAAAGUACAGACCAUGAAUGCAACAUAUGUCCAAAAAGUACAUCUAAUGUUCGACACAUCGAGCUAACGUUCGAGAAUAGUACACCGAACAUUCGACUGCACACAUGCCUGCAAAAUUAGCUCAUCCUUAUCCUCAGCUCUUUGUCCCCUAUAAAUACGCCUCCCAUAACCCUUUAAGCCCAAAUUCGAUCUUUUUUAGUUCCAAAGCCUUAGUAAGAGUGAGAGAGUGAUUUGGAGAAAGAGAAAGCGCUCUCUUAGUUUUUAUUCUUCAAAUGAGGUCCCUCGGAGUCUCGGACAACGCCAUCCCCCCAGGAAGGGCUUAAUUUCCUCGGUUGGACUACCUUUAGAUGUUGAAUUUGAGAUGGACCUUGAAGCAGAUGCGGCGGUUUAAUAUAGUGAUAUCAAUCCGGUUAAUGCUUGAGGACUGAUUGCAGGAUUUUGAAGGCCACUCAUGGUAAUUAGUAAUUUUGGGUGAUGUCGUAGGCUUAGUCUUUGGGGCCUGAUUGUAUAUUAAGG